rnacentral:lncRNA from 1 species
GAAAUCACAAUUUAUAGUUCUCUAUAAAUACCUCACAACAUCAUCCGUAACAACUCAUUCCAAUUCCCAAUCAAUUGUUUCUUAGAUUUAUUAUAAAGUACUUAAUUAUAUCGUUAUCGUGUGGCAAAAUAAUCGAGGUCGUGAGUAGACACCAAUAUUUAGUAAAAUCAGAAGAACAAACGAUCAAAGAAAAUGAUGAUGGAGAAGAAGGGCAAUGUGUUUCCUAGAAGAAGAGAGCAUGUUUCAACGAUGAUGGGGAAGAAAAUGGCUAAGGCUUUUGGCAAAACAUGCAAAUCUAUUGCUGCCGCUUUCAAGAAUCAUGACAAUAAUAAGGCAAAGAAUAAUGCAUGUGAAAAAUAUUAGAGUUAGGUUGGAUCGAUGUUGUAAUAUUAUUUCUUAUCCUAUUUUUUUAUUUUAUUUUCGUAUAGUUGUCUGUAAGUAGGUUUUGCGCAGCAAUUUCUGUAUUUGUUGCGAAUUGUAAUGGCUAUGGAUGUGAGAGUAUAUAUGUUUGUUCAUCUCUACAUGUAAAGCAGAUUUGUUACUUUGAAUUGUAAUAUCUUGUCAUUAAUUUGUUAUUAUUACUACU